rnacentral:rRNA from 1 species
AAGUACGGUCGCAAGACUAAAACUCAAAGGAAUUGACGGGGACCCGCACAAGCGGUGGAUGAUGUGGAUUAAUUCGAUGCAACGCGAAAAACCUUACCUACGCUUGACAUGCCAGGAACUUUCCAGAGAUGGAUUGGUGCCCGAAAGGGAACCUGGACACAGGUGCUGCAUGGCUGUCGUCAGCUCGUGUCGUGAGAUGUUGGGUUAAGUCCCGCAACGAGCGCAACCCUUAUCCUUAGUUGCUACGCAAGGGCACUCUAGGGAGACUGCCGGUGACAAACCGGAGGAAGGUGUGGAUGACGUCAAGUCCUCAUGGCCCUUACGGGUUGGGCUACACACGUGCUACAAUGGUGGUGACAGUGGGUUAAUCCCCAAAAGCCAUCUCAGUUCGGAUUGGGGUCUGCAACUCGACCCCAUGAAGUUGGAAUCGCUAGUAAUCGCGGAACAGCAUGCCGCGGUGAAUACGUUCCCGGGCCUUGUACACACCGCCCGUCACACCAUGGGAGUUGGUUCUACCCGACGGCCGUGCGCUAACCAGCAAUGGAGGCAGCGGACCACGGUANNANCAGCGACUGGGGUGAAGUCGUAACAAGGUAACCA